AAUAAAUACAGUUUUAUCACUGUUCAUGUCCAACGUUUGACUGUUCGUCUUAUUUGAAAAAAGAUUAUAAUUAGUAUUUUUAUUGUUACUAGAUGAUAAAAUAUGAAUAGUACUUAACGUGUGACUAAUUUUUUAAAUAUUUUUUUAAAAUUUUCAAAUAAGACAGAUGGUUAAAACGAUAAAUUCGGAUAUCUAUAGCUGCACUCAUU
rfam:Oryza sativa (indica cultivar-group) chromosome 3, whole genome shotgun sequence.